rnacentral:lncRNA from 1 species
AAAUAAAAUUGUCACUACCUAAAUGUUUUACCCCUUUGUUCUUAUUUUAAAGUUUUGUAAAAAGGAAUUCUUUAUUCUUUUUUUUUUUUUUUAAUUUAACGGGGGACCUGGAGGUCCUCUUACCAUAGAGAUGAGUGAGGAUAAACCAGCCCACAGUGACAGGAAGUAGGACCCAGGAGCCCCCUGCUGGGCCAACAGCAGUUGGUCAGGGCUGUCAGUUGCUGACAGUCAGGAGAGUCAGUUGCUGACAAUUAGGGCUGGGAGUUGCAGGGAAGUUGGCUGCUUGGAGAUGAAAUAUGUGAAAACAAAAUCUUCAGCAGAGAAAAUAUACAUCCUAACAAUCAAUGGCAGCAAAGACAAAUAUCUUGGAGCACAUGGACCAUUCUCAUUGGAUUCAAACUUUCAUCAGUGAGAUGGAUAUUUAUACCUAUAGAAAGCCCAGGGAGGCCUCCAGCAAGCUGAAUGGAAUGAACUUCCUGUACUGAACAUUUUUGAAGAAGUGGAAAAAGAGUUAUACAUGCUAUAUAGGUGAGGAUUUAUUUUAAUUCAAAUCAUUGAAACAAUACCUAAAAUGAUG